rnacentral:rRNA from 1 species
GACGAACGCUGGCGGCGUGCCUAAUACAUGCAAGUUGAGCGAUGAAGCUUGGUGCUUGCACCCAUUUGAAGAGCAGCGAACGGGUGAGUAACGCGUGGGGAAUCUGCCUUUGAGCGGGGGACAACAUUUGGAAACGAAUGCUAAUACCGCAUAACAACUUUAAACAUAAGUUUUAAGUUUGAAAGAUGCAAUUGCAUCACUCAAAGAUGAUCCCGCGUUGUAUUAGCUAGUUGGUGAGGUAAAGGCUCACCAAGGCGAUGAUACAUAGCCGACCUGAGAGGGUGAUCGGCCACAUUGGGAAUGAGACACGGCCCAAACUCCUACGGGAGGCAGCAGUAGGGAAUCUUCGGCAAUGGACGAAAGUCUGACCGAGCAACGCCGCGUGAGUGAAGAAGGGUUUCGGAUCGUAAAACUCUGUUGGUAGAGAAGAACGUUGGUGAGAGUGGAAAGCUCAUCAAGUGACGGUAACUACCCAGAAAGGGACGGCUAACUACGUG